GUGCUUGCACUCAAUUGGAAAGAGGAGUGGCGGACGGGUGAGUAACACGUGGGUAACCUACCCAUCAGAGGGGGAUAACACUUGGAAACAGGUGCUAAUACCGCAUAACAGUUUAUGCCGCAUGGCAUAAGAGUGAAAGGCGCUUUCGGGUGUCGCUGAUGGAUGGACCCGCGGUGCAUUAGCUAGUUGGUGAGGUAACGGCUCACCAAGGCCACGAUGCAUAGCCGACCUGAGAGGGUGAUCGGCCACACUGGGACUGAGACACGGCCCAGACUCCUACGGGAGGCAGCAGUAGGGAAUCUUCGGCAAUGGACGAAAGUCUGACCGAGCAACGCCGCGUGAGUGAAGAAGGUUUUCGGAUCGUAAAACUCUGUUGUUAGAGAAGAACAAGGACGUUAGUAACUGAACGUCCCCUGACGGUAUCUAACCAGAAGCCACGGCUAUACGUGCCAGCAGCCCGCGGUAAUACGUAGGUGGCAAGCGUUGUCCGGAUUUAUUGGGCGUAAAGCGAGCGCAGGCGGUUUCUUAAGUCUGAUGUG
rnacentral:rRNA from 1 species